rnacentral:rRNA from 2 species
ACCGUGUGUUGUUGGGUAGGGGAGCGUUCUGUAAGCCUGUGAAGGUGUGCUGUGAGGCAUGCUGGAGGUAUCAGAAGUGCGAAUGCUGACAUAAGUAACGAUAAAGCGGGUGAAAAGCCCGCUCGCCGGAAGACCAAGGGUUCCUGUCCAACGUUAAUCGGGGCAGGGUGAGUCGACCCCUAAGGCGAGGCCGAAAGGCGUAGUCGAUGGGAAACGGGUUAAUAUUCCCGUACUUGGUGUUACUGCGAAGGGGGGACGGAGAAGGCUAUGUUGGCCGGGCGACGGUUGUCCCGGUUUAAGCGUGUAGGUAUGUGUUCCAGGUAAAUCCGGUUCACUUUAACACUGAGGCGUGACGACGAGGCACUACGGUGCUGAAGCAACAAAUGCCCUGCUUCCAGGAAAAGCCUCUAAGCAUCAGGUAACAUCAAAUCGUACCCCAAACCGACACAGGUGGUCAGGUAGAGAAUACCAAGGCGCUUGAGAGAACUCGGGUGAAGGAACUAGGCAAAAUGGUGCCGUAACUUCGGGAGAAGGCACGCUGACACGUAGGUGAAGUGAUUUACUCACGGAGCUGAAGUCAGCCGAAGAUACCAGCUGGCUGCAACUGUUUAUUAAAAACACAGCACUGUGCAAACACGAAAGUGGACGUAUACGGUGUGACGCCUGCCCGGUGCCGGAAGGUUAAUUGAUGGGGUCAGCGCAAGCGAAGCUCCUGAUCGAAGCCCCGGUAAACGGCGGCCGUAACUAUAACGGUCCUAAGGUAGCGAAAUUCCUUGUCGGGUAAGUUCCGACCUGCACGAAUGGCGUAAUGAUGGCCAGGCUGUCUCCACCCGAGACUCAGUGAAAUUGAACUCGCUGUGAAGAUGCAGUGUACCCGCGGCAAGACGGAAAGACCCCGUGAACCUUUACUAUAGCUUGACACUGAACAUUGAGCCUUGAUGUGUAGGAUAGGUGGGAGGCUUUGAAGUGUGGACGCCAGUCUGCAUGGAGCCGACCUUGAAAUACCACCCUUUAAUGUUUGAUGUUCUAACGUGGACCCGUGAUCCGGGUUGCGGACAGUGUCUGGUGGGUAGUUUGACUGGGGCGGUCUCCUCCUAAAGAGUAACGGAGGAGCACGAAGGUUGGCUAAUCCUGGUCGGACAUCAGGAGGUUAGUGCAAUGGCAUAAGCCAGCUUGACUGCGAGCGUGACGGCGCGAGCAGGUGCGAAAGCAGGUCAUAGUGAUCCGGUGGUUCUGAAUGGAAGGGCCAUCGCUCAACGGAUAAAAGGUACUCCGGGGAUAACAGGCUGAUACCGCCCAAGAGUUCAUAUCGACGGCGGUGUUUGGCACCUCGAUGUCGGCUCAUCACAUCCUGGGGCUGAAGUAGGUCCCAAGGGUAUGGCUGUUCGCCAUUUAAAGUGGUACGCGAGCUGGGUUUAGAACGUCGUGAGACAGUUCGGUCCCUAUCUGCCGUGGGCGCUGGAGAACUGAGGGGGGCUGCUCCUAGUACGAGAGGACCGGAGUGGACGCAUCACUGGUGUUCGGGUUGUCAUGCCAAUGGCACUGCCCGGUAGCUAAAUGCGGAAGAGAUAAGUGCUGAAAGCAUCUAAGCACGAAACUUGCCCCGAGAUGAGUUCUCCCUGAGACUUUAGGUCUCCUGAAGGAACGUUGAAGACGACGACGUUGAUAGGCCGGGUGUGUAAGCGCAGCGAUGCGUUGAGCUAACCGGUACUAAUGAACCGUGAGGCUUAACCUUACAACGCCGAAG